GGGCAUGUAAUGUAGAGGUUAUUGCAUCCACUUUGAACAACCACUUGGUAACCGUGAUGUGGAAGGUCUCUGGUUCAAUUCCAGACUUGUCCA